UACGUAGGUGGCGAGCGUUGUCCGGAAUUAUUGGGCGUAAAGCGCGCGUAGGCGGGACCAUAAGUCCACUUUAAAAGUGCGGGGCUCAACCCCGUGAUGGGGUGGAAACUGUGGUUCUUGAGUGCCGGAGAGGAAAGCGGAAUUCCCAGUGUAGCGGUGAAAUGCGUAGAUAUUGGGAGGAACACCAGUGGCGAAGGCGGCUUUCUGGACGGUGUCUGACGCUGAGGCGCGAAAGCCAGGGGAGCGAACG
rnacentral:rRNA from 1 species